rnacentral:rRNA from 1 species
GACGAACGCUGGCGGCGUGCUUAACACAUGCAAGUCGAACGGUGAAGCGCCUUCCUUUUUGGUGGGUGUGGAUGAGUGGCGAACGGGUGAGUAACACGUGAGUAACCUGCCCCCUUCUUCUGGAUAACCGCAUGAAAGUGUGGCUAAUACGGGAUAUUCUGGGUCUGUCGCAUGAUGGGUCUGGGAAAGAUAUUGUUUCGGUGGGGGAUGGGCUCGCGGCCUAUCAGCUUGUUGGUGGGGUGAUGGCCUACCAAGGCGGUGACGGGUAGCCGGCCUGAGAGGGUGGACGGUCACACGGGGAAUGAGACACGGCCCAGACUCCUACGGGAGGCAGCAGUGGGGAAUAUUGCACAAUGGGCGCAAGCCUGAUGCAGCGACGCCGCGUGAGGGAUGGAGGCCUUCGGGUUGUGAACCUCUUUCGCCAGUGAAGCAGGCCUGCCUCGUUUGUGGGUGGGUUGACGGUAGCUGGAGAAGAAGCGCCGGCUAACUACGUG